rnacentral:rRNA from 1 species
AUUGAACGCUGGCGGCAUGCCUUACACAUGCAAGUCGAACGGUAACAGGUCUUCGGAUGCUGACGAGUGGCGAACAAUGGAGUAAUACAUCGGAACGUGCCCGAUCGUGGGGGGUAACGAAGCGAAAGCUUUGCUAAUACCGCCUAAGAUAUCCGGAUGAAAGCAGGGGACCGCAAGGCCUUGCGCGAACGGCGCGGCCUAUGGGCGAUUAGGUAGUUGGUGGGAUAAAAGCUUACCAAGCCGACUAUCGGUAGCUGGUCUGAGAGGACAACCAGCCACACUGGGACUGAGACACGGCCCAGACUCCUACGGGAGGCAGCAGUGGGGAAUUUUGGACAAUGGGCGAAAGCCUGAUCCAGCCAUGCCGCGUGCAGGAUGAAGGCCUUCGGGUUGUAAACUGCUUUUGUACGGAACGAAAAGACUCUUUCUAAUAAAGAGGGUCCGUGACGGUACCGUAAGAAUAAGCACCGGCUAACUACGUGCCAGCCGCCGCGGUAA